rnacentral:rRNA from 1 species
GAUGAACGCUGGCGGCGUGCCUAAUACAUGCAAGUCGAGCGAACAGACGAGGAGCUUGCUCCUCUGACGUUAGCGGCGGACGGGUGAGUAACACGUGGAUAACCUACCUAUAAGACUGGGAUAACUUCGGGAAACCGGAGCUAAUACCGGAUAAUAUAUUGAACCGCAUGGUUCAAUAGUGAAAGACGGUUUUGCUGUCACUUAUAGAUGGAUCCGCGCCGCAUUAGCUAGUUGGUAAGGUAACGGCUUACCAAGGCGACGAUGCGUAGCCGACCUGGGAGGGUGAUCGGCCACACUGGAACUGAGCCGCGGUCCAGACUCCUACGGGAGGCAGCAGUAGGGAAUCGUCCGCAAUGGGCGAAAGCCUGACGGAGCAACGCCGCGUGAGUGAUGAAGGUCUUCGGAUCGUAAAACUCUGUUAUUAGGGAAGAACAAAUGUGUAAGUAACUAUGCACGUCUUGACGGUACCUAAUCAGAAAGCCACGGCUAACUACGUG